CGGUGCUUUUGAGUUCCUGUUGGUACUUUCAAGGGACUUGUUACCCUAGCGAGACAGAAAGGUAAGAUAUAAAGCACUCCCUGAGGGGAUACCGAGCCAUUUAUAGGAAGUAACGCAUUAGUUGCUAGUCAGAUUACGGCAAGGGAGAGAUAGUAUGGAAUGAAUGGAUUAGUGUUCUUUCUUUCUCGUAGGACUGUGUGUGGGAAAGGGAUAGGUAACUCACAUACUAACUAAAGAGAGAAGAGCUGGUUUGUUUGGUUAAGGCAUGGAUGAGGAUAUAAGUCUUAAUAGUAAUGAGAGUCACACCGGUUCUCCUAGUUUGAACAUCCUUGGGGAGGUAGGAGGAGAACCAUGAUCAAGUCAAGCUUUACGGAACAAAGUGGAGCGCCGGUGAUAAGAGAAGCUUAUUGUAUUAGUAGGGGUUAACUUUUCCUACUUUUCUAGUUAGCUAGUUAAUGAGUAAGCAAGCUAGUCAGCAAGCAGUAGUAUUGAAGUUCAAUUAGUCAGGCUAUUAGUAUAUCCUUCCUUCCCUCACUCCGCUAGAACAAUUAGAGUAGGCGAGGAGAACUGCUUCUGAAUGCA
rnacentral:lncRNA from 1 species